rnacentral:rRNA from 1 species
AACGAACGCUGGCGGCAGGCCUAACACAUGCAAGUCGAGCGCUGUAGCAAUACAGAGCGGCGCACGGGUGAGUAACGCGUGGGAACGUGCCCAACGGUUCGGAAUAACUCAGGGAAACUUGUGCUAAUACCGAAUACGCCUCACGGGGAAAGAUUUAUCGCCGAUGGAGCGGCCCGCGUCCGAUUAGCUUGUUGGUGAGGUAAAAGCUUACCAAGGCGACGAUCGGUAGCUGGUUUGAGAGAACGAUCAGCCACACUGGGACUGAGACACGGCCCAGACUCCUACGGGAGGCAGCAGUGGGGAAUCUUGGACAAUGGGGGAAACCCUGAUCCAGCCAUGCCGCGUGAGUGAUGAAGGCCCCUAGGGUUGUAGAACUCUUUCGGCGGGGACGAUAAUGACGGUACCCGCAGAAGAAGCUCCGGCUAACUUCGUGCCAGCAGCCGCGGUAAUACGAAGGGGGUUUAGCGUUGUUCGGAAUUACUGGGCGUAAAGCGCGCGCAGGCGGUUCUUCAAGUCAGUGGUGAAAGCCCAGAGCUCAACUCUGGAAUUGCCUCUGAGACUGUAGGACUUGGGUUCGGGAGAGGUGAGUGGCAUUCCGAGUGUAGAGGUGAAAUUCGUAGAUAUUCGGAAGAACACCAGUGGCGAAGGCGGCUCACUGGCCCGAUACCGACGCUCAGGCGCG